rnacentral:rRNA from 1 species
GGCUCAGGACGAACGCUGGCGGCGUGCCUAAUACAUGCAAGUCGAGCGAGCGGAACUAACAGAUUUACUUCGGUAAUGACGUUAGGAAAGCGAGCGGCGGAUGGGUGAGUAACACGUGGGGAACCUGCCCCAUAGUCUGGGAUACCACUUGGAAACAGGUGCUAAUACCGGAUAAGAAAGCAGAUCGCAUGAUCAGCUUUUAAAAGGCGGCGUAAGCUGUCGCUAUGGGAUGGCCCCGCGGUGCAUUAGCUAGUUGGUAAGGUAAAGGCUUACCAAGGCGAUGAUGCAUAGCCGAGUUGAGAGACUGAUCGGCCACAUUGGGACUGAGACACGGCCCAAACUCCUACGGGAGGCAGCAGUAGGGAAUCUUCCACAAUGGACGCAAGUCUGAUGGAGCAACGCCGCGUGAGUGAAGAAGGUUUUCGGAUCGUAAAGCUCUGUUGUUGGUGAAGAAGGAUAGAGGUAGUAACUGGCCUUUAUUUGACGGUAAUCAACCAGAAAGUCACGGCUAACUACGUGCCAGCAGCCGCGGUAAUACGUAGGUGGCAAGCGUUGUCCGGAUUUAUUGGGCGUAAAGCGAGCGCAGGCGGAAGAAUAAGUCUGAUGUGAAAGCCCUCGGCUUAACCGAGGAACUGCAUCGGAAACUGUUUUUCUUGAGUGCAGAA